GAGAGGGUGAUGUUUGAUUUCCCUGUCCAGCUGCAGUUCAUGUGGUGAAGGUGCUCCCACAAUGUGGUUGGGUGGACAUUCAGAUGGUAAUCUCAGUAAUUGUAACGCCAAACUGUGACAAAAUUACUCAAUUCAUCAGGAGCUGGAUAUUCACAUUGUGUGGAUCUGCACUGGAACCCUUCUGUUUGCGGGACAAAUAUAUAUAAGUGACAUGGAUUAAAAUCUAAUUUGAUUUGAUGGAGAUGUGUUGAAAAUGUUUGCAGUUACUGAUCUGCUGAACCAAAAUGACCCGUUUUAAACUGAU